rnacentral:rRNA from 1 species
GAUGAACGCUGACAGAAUGCUUAACACAUGCAAGUCUUUGGGGAAGCUGUGCUUGCAGAGCCUAGCUAAGGCGGACGGGUGAGUAACGCGUAAGGAACUUGCUCUGCAGGCAGGGAUAACAGACGGAAACGACUGAUAAGACUAGGGAAAGUCAGGCGGAGUCAUGUGGAGGCUGAUGGAAAGAGAUGCUGGAGGAGGGCCUUGCUUCGUAUUAGCUUGUUGGUGGGGUAGCGGCCCAUCAAGGCGAUGGUGGGUGGGCGGCGUGAGAGGGUGGACGGCCACAAGGCGACUGAGAUACGGCCCCUACUCCUACAGGCAGCAGCGGUGAAGAAUAUUGGACAAUCGGGGCAACCCUGAUCCAGCACUGCUGUGUGCACGAUGAAGGUUUUCGGAUAGUACAGUUCUUUCUGCAAGGAAGAAAAAAUGACGGUACCGGCAGAAGAAGCGACGGCUAAAUACGUG